rnacentral:rRNA from 1 species
UGGGGAAUAUUGGACAAUGGGCGAAAGCCUGAUCCAGCCAUGCCGCGUGUGUGAAGAAGGUCUUCGGAUUGUAAAGCACUUUAAGUUGGGAGGAAGGGCAGUAAGCGAAUACCUUGCUGUUUUGACGUUACCGACAGAAUAAGCACCGGCUAACUCUGUGCCAGCAGCCGCGGUAAUACAGAGGGUGCAAGCGUUAAUCGGAAUUACUGGGCGUAAAGCGCGCGUAGGUGGUUCGUUAAGUUGAAUGUGAAAGCCCCGGGCUCAACCUGGGAACUGCAUCCAAAACUGGCGAGCUAGAGUAGGGCAGAGGGUGGUGGAAUUUACUGUGUAGCGGUGAAAUGCGUAGAUAUAGGAAGGAACACCAGUGGCGAAGGCGACCACCUGGGCUCAUACUGACACUGAGGUGCGAAAGCGUGGGGAGCAAACAGG